rnacentral:tRNA from 1 species
GAUAAUAUAGUUUAUAAUAUUAAAAUUAAAAAUUGUAAAUUUUUAGAACUUAGGGUGUUAUUA